UUUUUUUUUUUUUUUGGAACAUUUGCGUAUUGCAUUGUUGACAUGUGAAGUCCAAAAAUACAAUCAAACACAUUUCAAAUGUUUUUUUUCUUCUCCCCCAGACAAGCAACCCACAAACAUUAUAUAUCAAAUCAAAUCAAAUAAAAAUAAUAGCCUAAAGAAGAAACUUGCAGCAGUCCAAUAAGUCGGACCACAUGGCAACACAACGACAUUACACCAAAUCAGACAAAAGGCUCAUCAAUAUUCGACCUCCCACCAUUUUGUGUUAGUUAUUAGCCGGCAUCCUCCUGAUCUUCAUGGUGACGGACUUGAUGACUCGGGCCACUCCCUUGUGUCUCCAGGUGUCCCACAGGACGCCCACGGUCCGAGGCCCCGGGUCCUGCCGGGCGUCCCCGUUGAGGUUGGCCAUGCCGCAGCGGUUGAACCACCACCCCGUGUGGUGGUGUCGGGCACUGCAGCUCUCCACCGUCAGACCCCCCAUGGAGCAGGAGGGCUCGCAGCCGUCGUUGUCCACGUCCGAGGCGCUGAAGGGGGCCGUGUCUUGGUUCUGGUCCUGCUCGUAGCCGCGGAAGGCGUCCCCUGGCCAACUCAGACGGGUGGAUGCGGAAGAAGUCAGUUUCGUUGUCCAGGCGGAAGUCGUCGUAGGCGGCGUAGGAGGUGACGUCGUCGUGGGAGACCAGGGCCACGUGGAGCUGGAACCGACUCCCCUUCUGGUUGACGAUGUCGAAGACCUUCUUCAGGCCCAACCAGUGCUCACCUGGACACAUGGCGUCCGCUUACUGCACCUGUCCUGUCUGGUCUCCCGCCGUCCUAUCCUAGUCCUGGUUUCUCCUGUCCUGACUACCUGUCUUUUCUUGUCUUGCAGGGCUGUCCAAAGUGUGGCCCGGGGGACAUUCGAGGCCCGGAGCAGGUUUUUUAGCGAGCCCCAAAGACCCUUGAAAACAGCCCAAAACCUGCGAGGUGUCCAAAGCCGCCCACGUGGUCCGCCCAGGGUCGCUUGAAGUCCACCAGGCCGUCGGUCCUGCGCUGCAUCACCGUCCAUCCCCCGCCCAUGUAGUCCAUCUCGCAGAAGACCUGAGGGGGCGUGGCAGGUGAGGACAGCACACUUCGGGCUCGCGACCAGCGUUACCUCGAAGGACGAGUCCGAGUCGUCCGGGCUGACGAUGUAAAUCCCGCUGGGGAUCUUGGGGACCAGGGACAUCAGACUGUCCUUGAUGUCGCUGCAGUCCCGCCCUCAACACAUAAACACACGUCACCUUCACUCAUGACCUUUAUAUUUAUACACCUGGAAUGUGGCGCCGCCCUGCUGGUGGGUGCAGGGGCGCCGCUAUGGAUGAAAAUAAUCUUUACAGGACCCCUCUGUAUUAUAAUUUCAUCAUCAUUAGGCCCCCCUCCAUCAUGGGCCCCUAGAAUCCAUCUACUUUUCGGCGCCCCUGGGUGGGCGUGUCUUACCGUGCGAUAGAGGAGGUUUGGCGGCGAACGUGUCGGCGUUGCUCCGCUGCACCUCCGCGCUGAGCGCCUGCACUUUGUUCAUCACCUCUGACACCUGUGACGUCAUGGCCUGUGGUUACAAACCUGUGUCCAGCAGGGGGCGCCAAAGUGCGACCCAAAACUAUUCUUUUUUAACU